rnacentral:rRNA from 1 species
CCUACGGGGUGCAGCAGUGGGGAAUAUUGGGCAAUGGGCGCAAGCCUGAUCCAGCCAUGCCGCGUGUGUGAAGAAGGCCUUUUGGUUGUAAAGCACUUUAAGCGAGGAGGAGGCUCCUUUAGUUAAUACCUAAAGAGAGUGGACGUUACUCGCAGAAUAAGCACCGGCUAACUCUGUGCCAGCAGCCGCGGUAAUACAGAGGGUGCGAGCGUUAAUCGGAUUUACUGGGCGUAAAGCGUGCGUAGGCGGCUUUUUAAGUCGGAUGUGAAAUCCCUGAGCUUAACUUAGGAAUUGCAUUCGAUACUGGAGAGCUAGAGUAUGGGAGAGGAUGGUAGAAUUCCAGGUGUAGCGGUGAAAUGCGUAGAGAUCUGGAGGAAUACCGAUGGCGAAGGCAGCCAUCUGGCCUAAUACUGACGCUGAGGUACGAAAGCAUGGGGAGCAAACAGGAUUAGAUACCCCUGUAGUC